rnacentral:lncRNA from 1 species
UGUUUUGAUCUUUUGAAAUAAUUUCGAGGCCUGAUGCCGAGUUGACAGUUCUUCGCUGGAUAAAAAUACUGCUCCGUUUUGGUUACGUAGACCCGACUGACGUGUGAACAAACAAUAGAUUAAUCAUUAAUUGGCUUGACGAAUUGAAGAAGAAUAUAUUGCAAACGAAACGUAAUAGUUUUAUUAACAAAUAUACUUGCAAGAAAAUAACGACACUUUAUUGCAAUGAGUUAGCACUUAUUAUAAACGUACAAAAAUAAUGAGAAUUAUAGAAAUUAAAUAUUAAUUUUUCGAAUUUUUCUACAGAACAACCAUUUAGGAAUCUCCGCAGCACAAAUUUAUAUAUUUCUGUUUUGGUUAGAAAAUGCAUUCUUUAUAAAAUCAUUAGUCACCACUCAACCUAACUCUAGACGGCACCAGCAAAAUUUGACAGCGAGUCGACAUUUUUCGGGAAAGAUAAAAACGAAAUUGACAUUAACGGCGUUGCCAAUUUGCGUUGUAAUGUGAAAUUCGCAAACAAAAGAUUUGCAGUAAAAUAUUUAUGAUAUGCAAAGAAUAUAAUUGAUUGUUGAUGAACAUGAAUGAUAUAACCACUAUUAUGCUUAUAGAUAAUAAUAAAUUCUGUUAGCUUUUGGCUUGUA